AAACCUUUGAAACAGGGCGGAGACAUAUGUCACCUAGCCUGCUUGGUUUAUUCAAGAUUUACAACAUCUGUAAAUGGCGACUCGACUCAUGGAGACUCAUGUUCACAGCAGCAAGCGCGACCUGCCCAAUCGCAUCAACAAAACAUUUCGCGAUUGAUGCCGUUCACGUCUGCUCGCGCCGUCAUCGCCGCGUAACAUAAUCUUCAGCGCAUUGGUUAACCAGCUUUGCCACUGCGUUCGCGCGACUGAGAAAUCAAGCUCUUAGCGAAUGAGCCAGAACAGUGGUGAUUCGCGAUCAUUUGCGAUCGGUUGCUUUGUGACCAAAUUGAUCGAAGUGUGGCCUUUGAGAUCUGUUGCGCUGAGGUGAUCUCGAAGGCUUUGCCUAAGUGUUGUCCUCAACACUAAAUGAUUGUUUUAACGCAGCCAAUAGUCAUUUGCACAAGGAGGUAUUUUAUUUUAUUACACUCUCUGUAUAGCUGACGACAUAUAAUAAAAUACUGAAGUUUUUCGAAAAAAAAUGAUGUUCGAUGUUUUUACCAAACCUAGCGAAAACUAAAAAAGUUAACAAGCAACAUUGGUAUAUCAUUUUUUUUUUGCGUUUGUUUUUGUCGCCAUUUCUCAUUUUUUUUUCUUGGUCGGCGUGUGCGCCACGUGUGUGUCGUGAGCUCUAAGCACGUGAGUGUGUGUUGUCAUCUGCUGCUGCGCGAUAAGGAACAUUUUGUCAAGAGCGUACAAGACGAAAAGCGGGAUGUAUCUAUAUACCGUCCGUGCAUUGGCUGACGCGGAGGUAUGCUACCGACUCGGCUGCGUGGACGCGGGCACGAAGAAAGGAGCGCCGACUGACCAACGAUACUUUGACUGCGCAUGUGUGCCACUCAAGUGCAACAGUUCACGAGGCAUCCCAGGCCCCGAAAGAAGUUGGAAGAAGAUGCAAGCGCAGCAUGCCAAUGUUGUUGAAUAUGCCAGCACGAAGUUUCCAGGCGCAAGUGUUUCUUAUAUAAAAGAAAGCCUAUUCUCUCCCCUCACAAGGGAAAUAAAAUCACUAUAUAAAAAUGCCUUUUCAUGUGCCUUUUUUGUUUUCCUGUUGGCUGCAGUUAAUAUUCAGCCUCAGUGAGCCAAAUCUUGCUACUUUAGACCUUAGUGAGAUAUAUCCCAGUACAAUGAAAAUACAAUGAAAAUUCAUCUCGAUCUAAAUCCAAUGAAUAUACAAUAACGAACCAAUGGAAAAACAACACAAUAAUACUACAACAGAUUUUCAAUGGAUUCACGGUGGCCACUUUUCCAUGACUACUCAACAAAUCUACAAUGAAAUACCAAUAAAAAUUCCACAAUUUUUUUGUUGAUGGUGGCACGAAAUAUCAAUGGAAAACCAAUGGAAUUCCAACAACAUUUUUUG